UUUAAAAGGCCUUCCAGUGUGGAGAUUCAAGGCAGUUCCUGUUAAUCUUGGACUCAUCUCAUCUGAAGCUUUAUUCCAGUUCAUUCAUCAGUUCCGGUUUCGUCCGUUUCGCAGGCAGAAAGAGGAAGAGCUGAUUGGGGGAGGGACUUUUAUUGCCUGUGUUCCUUUUUUCUGAUUGGUUUAUCCCGUUACUAUGUGAAAGUUAUGCUGCUGUGUAAAGAAAGUCUAAAGCAAAAUAUUCGCCUCCUG